GGGGCGUGGCCUACGCGUUCCCUGCGGGCGGGGCGUGUGCAGGGGCCGGCCAGGAAGCAGCAUACAGGUGAGCAGAUACCUCAGCUGGAGCGAGUGAUCCAAUCACCUGUUCCCUUUAUCAGCAGCCUUGGAAAUCUUGAGGGGAAAGAUGAUGAGAGUGACGGAGAGAGAAAGACACACACGACGAGACACAGUGAACAAACUGGAGAGCACUGGACUGAUGCAGUUGCAUGUACUGCCAUCAAUAAAAGUGUAAAUCACUGAGACCGAGUGUGGUGAUUCCAGCCAAACAACGGGGGAUCUGGGACAGAGACCUUCCACAGUGGCGCUCAACUAAGGAAGAAUCCAGGAAAGAUGUCGGCACCAAACCCCUUGGAAGCGCUUGGACAAGUGCUGGCGCAAGUAUCAGCAGCAAGUCAGCAACGAUCGCGACAUGAAACGCAUGGUAGAGGGGGAGGAUCCUCAAACAUUCCUGGACGUGUUCGAGGCGUCAAACAGGUGGCCGGAAGAAGAGUGGGGAGUAAAACUGCUGCCGCUCCUGGUGGGGGAGGCGCAGCGGGCGGUGUUGAGUCUCUCGGCAUCUGCCCACCUGCAAUACACCAACCUCUGUUAAGCCAUCCUGGACCGGGUCGGCAGCAGCUGACGCUGAUUUAGAGCGAUGACGCUGGAGCCAGAAGACCGAGCGUUCGUGUUCGCCUACCGGCUGAGGGACGCAGCGACCCGGUGGCUCCGGCCCAAUGGACAGGAUCCAGGUGUGCUGGAAAGCAUCGUUUUGGAGCGGUUCCUGGACGCCAUCCCGGCUAGGACAUGAGCGUGGGUGAGAUACCACAGCCCCCCGAGCGUAAAAGCAGCGGUGAGGUUGGCGGAGGAACACCUAGCAGUGCAGAGGGAGGCAACCCCGAGGACGGCCGCAGGAUCCACCCCAGCACCCCGGCUUCAACUCGCCCCGCGAUGGGGGGGUAUGGAGCGGGCAAGAUCACCCGAGCAUAAAGACCAGGUUUUCCUGGUGGCCACACAAACACUUACACACACACACGCAGGCACGCACACACGCACACACACACCACUAACGUUGGGACACGGGUUAACAAUAAAUCUGAUGUGUGCAUGUUGCAGGUUCCCAGUGCUGCGGCGAGAGGGCUUCCCUCGCAGAGGGCACCUCAACUUCCAGGGCUGGUGUGCUGGGGGUGCAGACAACCCGGUCACGUGCGCAGGGAUUGCUCCAUGAUGGAGGUGGGGCGGGCAAUGCGGGUUGUCGAGCCGCCAGCACCCGCCCCCGAUCCAGGAGAGACAUACUACGUCCCGCAGCGUUGGAGAUCUUAAGGGGAAAGAUGAUGAAAGUGACGGAGAGAGAAAGACACAGACGGCGAGAUACAGUGAACAAACUGGAGAGCACUGGACUGAUGCAGUUGCAUGUACUGCCAUCAAUAAAAGUGUAAAUCAC